UAUUUAAAUUUUCAUCCAGUUGUACUGUUAAAAAUUGGCUUGGUUAACAAAAUAACCAAAUAAUGACACGUUGCUUGCCACGUGUCUCCCAUGCUGACAUACAUGAACCAAUUUUUAACAAUAGAAAUUGAUGGAAAUUUGAACA
rfam:Gossypium arboreum cultivar AKA8401 contig_3189_11, whole genome shotgun sequence.